UUGAAUUUCUUUGGCUUGUCCAAAGUCCCUUCAAACACCUGUGAACCGGGCUUCGGCCAUAUCUUUUAACAACGUCUCAAGAAAGUCCUGUAGCUUGCUACAAAAAGUAAAUAAAUA
rnacentral:misc_RNA from 1 species